GGGGGAUAGCUUGCUAUCCUGCCGGCGAGCGGCGGACGGGUGAGUAAUGCAUGGGGAGCUGCCCAAUCGAGGGGGAUAACAACUGGAAACGGUUGCUAAUACCGCAUACGCCCUGCGGGGGAAAGGUGGGGACCUUCGGGCCUACCGCGAUUGGAUGCACCCAUGUGGGAUUAGCUAGUUGGUGAGGUAACGGCUCACCAAGGCGAUGAUCUCUAGCUGGUCUGAGAGGAUGACCAGCCACACUGGAACUGAGACACGGUCCAGACUCCUACGGGAGGCAGCAGUGGGGAAUAUUGCACAAUGGGGGAAACCCUGAUGCAGCCAUGCCGCGUGUGUGAAGAAGGCCUUC
rnacentral:rRNA from 1 species